CCUACGGGAGGCAGCAGUGGGGAAUAUUGGGCAAUGGGCGCAAGCCUGACCCAGCAACGCCGCGUGAAGGAAGAAGGCUUUCGGGUUGUAAACUUCUUUUAAGAGGGAAGAGCAGAAGACGGUACCUCUUGAAUAAGCCACGGCUAACUACGGGCCAGCAGCCGCGGUAAUACGUAGGUGGCAAGCGUUGUCCGGAUUUACUGGGGGUAAAGGGCGUGCAGCCGGGAAGACAAGUCAGAUGUGAAAUCCCGCGGCUCAACCGCGGAACUGCAUUUGAAACUGUUUUUCUUGAGUACCGGAGAGGUCAUCGGAAUUCCUGGUGUAGCGGUGAAAUGCGUAGAUAUAAGGAAGAACACCAGUGGCGAAGGCGGAUGACUGGACGGCAACUGACGGUGAGGCGCGAAAGCGUGGGGAGCAAACAGGAUUAGAUACCCCUGUAGUC
rnacentral:rRNA from 1 species